rnacentral:rRNA from 1 species
UUAAUGAGAGUUUGAUCCUGGCUCAGGACGAACGCUGGCGGCGUGCCUAAUACAUGCAAGUAGAACGCUGAAGAGAGGAGCUUGCUCUUCUUGGAUGAGUUGCGAACGGGUGAGUAACGCGUAGGUAACCUGCCUUGUAGCGGGGGAUAACUAUUGGAAACGAUAGCUAAUACCGCAUAACAAUGGAUGACACAUGUCAUUUAUUUGGAAAGGGGCAAUUGCUCCACUACAAGAUGGACCUGCGUUGUAUUAGCU